UCAUGUUUGUACAUUUUCAAGGUGUUUUACAAUGUUGUGAUGCUUUUAUUUUGAAAAGGUGCCGUCCAGUGUGAAACGGGUGCUUUUAUUUUGAAAGGUAAUGACAGGAAAUAACAGGUGGAACGGUAAAAUGAAAAACGAACGGUAAAUAAUAACGAGUGCGUCAUUAUUCAUAUAAAGUUGAUAUAAAGUAUCAAAAGGCUUCUAUAGUGGCUGGCUGACAGGACACAAGGAACAAAGUCUCGGUGCACCUUUGAGCUCACACCACUGCACAUGACUGUGACUCACCCGCAGAACAAGGCAGAGGGAGAACAGGCAAGAACACACCAGAUAAUGCUGUGUUCGAUUGCACUCGGAACUCGGAAAGAUCCGACCUCCGAGUCGGAAAAGUGCAAUAGAACGUUCAACUAGGGAUUCCGACUCUGGAAUUCUGGUAGGAUCCGAGCAGCCUGAGUAGGUCGGGAAUACGUGGAAAACAUCAAAGCAAAAUGGCGCCACACACCGUGAGAGGUAAACAGUCACUUUAUCUUCAACAUUUAGUCUGUUAUGUCUCGUUUAAUUUAGCAUUUGUGUUACUAAAAGUGUAGGAUUACUUUGUGGUGGUAUUUGCACUCCAACUCUGUUAAUUAAAGAGUUUGUGUGAGCACAGUAGGGACGAAAAAGCACAGUAAAAGUGUAAAAAAUAUUGUAGUUUUUCCCAUAUUUAAACUACAUUAAUCUAUAAGGUGUAAUACUGCACUUCUUUUUAUUGUAUCCAGGAAAUUGAUAAGAUUUAAUUAUAUUUUUGUCUCUUAAGUAUUUGCAGACCACAAUUCCACCCUAUAUUUGGACCCCAAGAGGACACAAACCAUUUAACUGUAUGUUGUACCAGGUAGCUGAUGUACUUCCCCAGAAUAAUUUUUAAAUGCUCCAAAGACAUCCAAACAAACAUCAACUCGCUGUGGUCGGCCAUGUUCUCUGAGGUUGAGCAAUGAAACGCAUUUACCUCGAAAGUCGGAAUUUCCAACUCAGAUCUUUCCGAGUUCCGAGUGCUAUCGAACGCAGCAUUAACCUAUUAAUUGUUGGUCUAUUUUUUUUAAAUCUGAUGUACAUAUUUUUGCUAAUAUUUUGACUUGCAGUAAGUAGAAAUGUAUAUAUACAGGACUUUUUGAUUGAAACAUAGGACUUCUAAAUGAUGGGUCUGCUACUUUUUCUUAAGAAAAAGAUGUGAGUGAUUCUUCCACCACUGUCCUCUGUGCAGCAGUGAACAGGAUCUGACUGCUGCAGCUGACAGAUGGGCUCUGUCCCUCCAUCUUUACUUCUCUUUGAUCUUUGCUGUCUGUGACUGUCAGUCUGCCCCCUGUCCAGCUGUUGCAGGAAGGGUGAAUGCCAGACGAUGCAAGACAGUUGCAGAGAUGCCAGCUGCCAGGAUGCCCUCAAACUGGCAUCUUAGAAACUCCUGAGGGGCCGGGGUGGGGGUCUGCACCGUACUGUACCACUCUGCAUCGAGUAGAUCGGACUGACUCUUUUGGUGCUUUUGCUUCUGUUUGGUUGUUUUUGUCUGAGAGAGGGGCUCUGUCAACCUUAACAUAUUAAACCUCUCAAGUCCAGGAGAUUUUGGUUCAGAUUUGUCAACUUCCUCUGCAUUAAUUUCUGUCUCUGUUUAGCAUCUUUCAGUCUGUCCUUACAUCACAUGCAUGGCUCCUUUUUCUCCACACAAACUUGGCUAUCAGUCGGAUUUUUCAUUUUAUUUUAAUUAACAAAGUAUGAAAGCUGCUAAAGCUAAUACAUAAUAAAAACAAAACAAUUUGCAUGUAAAUUGAAAAUGGUAAUGGUUUUAAUUGUGGAAAGAAAAUUCACAAUUUAAAAAAGGUCUAGAAACAUAAAUGUCACACUGUGAAAGCUCCUAUGAUGAACUUUCAACUGGCUUUCUCAGCUUGUCUACAUAUCAUAUAAAUAUAGUUAUUACUGUAAACAAACAUGUGGAUUCUCAAUAAAUAGAUGGACUCCAGAGGGUUAAUGAAGAGACAUAUUUUGAAAAAAGCAAAGAGGGUUGGACCGGUGUAAACAUUUUCAAAUCAAUUUGAUAUUUAUCCACCAGACAGGACUGGUAUACUGAAUUUUACCAAAUAGUGUCCCAUUUGACUCCAGAGUGAAACAUAAUGAGACUGAGAGUGCCCAUGAAUCCAGCAACUCCUGUCGGGAAAAUAUAUUUUUGCGUAAUCUUGACUAAAACAACCAGAUUUAAUGCAAGUACACUUCUUGACAAAAGAUUUCUUAAAUUAAGAUUAUUAAAUCUAGAAACAAGCAUGUUGUAUGCUUAAAAUAAAUCUCUUAAAACAAGAUAAA